rnacentral:tRNA from 3 species
GAACGAAAGGGCGGAUGUAGCCAAGUGGAUCA